GAUGAACGCUAGCUACAGGCUUAACACAUGCAAGUCGCGGGGCAGCAUGGGGGUUGCUUGCAAUCCCCGAUGGCGACCGGCGCACGGGUGAGUAACGCGUAUCCAACCUGCCCUUCACCACGGGAUAACCCGGCGAAAGUCGGACUAAUACCGUAUGUUGUCCAUUGACGGCAUCCGAUUUGGACGAAAGGUUUGGCGGUGAAGGAUGGGGAUGCGUCCGAUUAGCUGGACGGCGGGGUGACGGCCCACCGUGGCGACGAUCGGUAGGGGUACUGAGAGGAAGGUCCCCCACACUGGAACUGAGACACGGUCCAGACUCCUACGGGAGGCAGCAGUGAGGAAUAUUGGUCAAUGGGCGUAAGCCUGAACCAGCCAAGUAGCGUGCAGGAUGACGGCCCUAUGGGUUGUAAACUGCUUUUAUGCGGGGAUAAAGUGGCCCACGUGUGGGUUUUUGCAGGUACCGCAUGAAUAAGGACCGGCUAAUUCCGUG
rnacentral:rRNA from 1 species